rnacentral:lncRNA from 1 species
UCGAUCAAGUCUAAUUUGUGUCAUCUUUCCUUGUUACCUUUUUUUUCGAACACCUAUUUCCUAGUUACCUAAUUAUCAAAUUAUCACUGUUAUAAAGCUAUUUUUUUAUCACCAUUGAUAUUAACUAAAAUAACUCAUUUGUAAUAUCAAUUUAUUGUAAUCUUAUAAUCAUUAAUCUGACAUUGCUAAAACCACUCAUUUGAUUAGUGUUCUCUUAUCCACUACUGGUUUCAAUUUACCUACAGUUAUCUAUACUAUUAAAAGAGAAUCAUUCUUAAAAAAUCUACUUAUGCAA